rnacentral:rRNA from 1 species
UGACCGCUGGCGGCAGGCCUAACACAUGCACGUCGAGCGGAUGAAGGGAGCUUGCUCCUGGCUUCAGCGGCGGACGGGUGAGUAAUGCCUAGGAAUCUGCCUGGUAGUGGGGGAUAACGUCCGGAAACGGGCGCUAAUACCGCAUACGUCCUGAGGGAGAAAGUGGGGGAUCUUCGAACCUCACGCUAUCAGAUGAGCCUAGGUCGGAUUAGCUAGUUGGUGGGGUAAAGGCCUACCAAGGCGACGAUCCGUAACUGGUCUGAGAGGAUGAUCAGUCACACUGGAACUGAGACACGGUCCAGACUCCUACGGGAGGCAGCAGUGGGGAAUAUUGGACAAUGGGCGAAAGCCUGAUCCAGCCAUGCCGCGUGUGUGAAGAAGGUCUUCGGAUUGUAAAGCACUUUAAGUUGGGAGGAAGGGCAGUAAGUUAAUACCUUGCUGUUUUGACGUUACCAACAGAAUAAGCACCGGCUAACUUCGUG